CGUAGGGCAAGCGUUGUCCGGAAUUAUUGGGCGUAAAGCGCUCGCAGGUGGUCUUUAAGUCUGAUGUGAAAGCCCACGGCUUAACCGUGGAGGGUCAUUGGAAACUGGAGGACUUGAGUGCAGAAGAGGAGAGUGGAAUUCCACGUGUAGCGGUGAAAUGCGUAGAGAUGUGGAGGAACACCAGUGGCGAAGGCGACUCUCUGGUCUGUAACUGACGCUGAGGAGCGAAAGCGUGGGAGCGAACAGGAUU
rnacentral:rRNA from 1 species